CCUUUAUACAGAUGAGGAACUGCAGACUCACCAGGUUCCACUGAGCUGAUGGAAAGGCAGUGCCUGGGAGGGAAGACUAGAGCCCAUUGAUUGCUGUGCUGACCUUUGAGGACAUGAAGGUUUGGGUCCCCAGCCAACAAUCAGAGGCUGAAGCUUUGCAUCUGGCACCGUGGACUGUUAAGCUCCUUUCAAAGCUGCUGAUGGAGCAUCCUUCAGCCCAUGAAUACUACGAUCCAAAUGACUACAUUGGAGACAUCCAUCAGGAGAUGGACAGGGAGGAGCUGGAGCUGGAGGAAGUGGACCUCUACAGAAUGAACAGCCAGGACAAGCUGGGCCUCACUGUGUGCUACCGGACGGACGAUGAAGACGACAUUGGGAUUUAUAUCAGUGAGAUUGACCCUAACAGCAUUGCAGCCAAGGAUGGGCGCAUCCGAGAAGGAGACCGCAUUAUCCAGAUUAAUGGGAUAGAGGUGCAGAACCGUGAAGAGGCUGUGGCUCUUCUAACCAGUGAAGAAAAUAAAAACUUUUCAUUGCUGAUUGCAAGGCCUGAACUCCAGCUGGAUGAGGGCUGGAUGGACGAUGACAGGAACGACUUUCUGGAUGACCUGCACAUGGACAUGCUGGAGGAGCAGCACCACCAGGCCA
rnacentral:sRNA from 1 species